GUCUUCGGGCCAUGCGCCGUAUCUUUCCAGCAUUUCUGCUAUCAUGGAGCUUCAGGACUUGGCAUUUGAACAUGGGCCCUGGAAGACACUGGCUAAUUAGUUCCUGAGGAAGGACCGAUCCAUCUUCCAGAGGAAGCGAUGUGUCCCCUCCUGCAGCUGUGGAGCGGCCCAGGGGGUCAAAUUAUUCACAAAAAAAUCCAACACUGCAUGAG